rnacentral:rRNA from 1 species
AGAGAGAGACAUGCGCGCAUAUCAAUAAGCGGAGGAAAAGAAACUAACAAGGAUUCCCUUAGUAACGGCGAGUGAAGCGGGAAGAGCUCAAAUUUGAAAUCUUCAAGGUUCUACCUUGACGAAUUGUAGUUUAUAGAAGUGUUUUCUGUUAGUGGAGUGGCAAAAGUUCUUUGGAAUAGGACAUCAUAGAGGGUGAGAAUCCCGUAUUUGGUCAUUCCUCCUAGCGUUGUGAUACACUUUCAACGAGUCGGAUUGUUUGGGAAUGCAGUCCAAAAUGGGUGGUAAAUUUCAUCUAAAGCUAAAUAUUGGCGAGAGACCGAUAGCGAACAAGUACCGUGAGGGAAAGAUGAAAAGAACUUUGAAAAGAGAGUUAAACAGUACGUGAAAUUGUCAAAAGGGAAGCGUUUGACACCAGUGUUGUUUUUCCGAAAAUCAAUUACGAAUGUUUUGUUUUUAAGAAGUUAUGACUUCAUCGGCUUGCUCCUUUCUUUACGAAACUUUCUUAAUGCACUUUUCGGUUAACAAGUCAACAUCAAUUUCUUUUGUUGUAAAAGGGUAUGAGGAAGGUGGCUUUCUUUUCGGAGAAAGUGUUUAUAGCCUUGUGCCUCUGCAAUCGGAGAGAUUGAGGUCUGCAGCGUAGAUCCUUCGGGGUUAGAUACGUUUGUGCUAAGUUAUAGCUUUUCAUAGACAACUUGUUGACUAUGUUUAGUCUUGUAGCUUACUCGCUGACGCUAUUUUACCUACGCUUAGGAUGUUGAUAGUCACAGCGUGUAC